CUGAUAAUCAAUCAGAGUGUGAUGGAAAUUGUGACUAUUAUAAAUCACUGUGCACCUUAAAUGGUUUAUGUGUCUUAACAAAAGAAGAAACUCUAAUCUUAGAUCUUAUAGAUAAGAUUGAGGAUCAGGAAGAAAGAAAGAAUAAGUUGGAAGAAUAUUUAAAUAUGUAUAAAGAUAAAAGUCCUUUAGAGAAAAGAAUGAAAAAAAAAAAAAACAAAGCCUGUAUGAUCUUAAAGAGAUAAUGGAAAAGAUUAAAAAGGCUAAAAUGCCUAGAGAACCAACAGUAAAAGAAUUAAGGCAAGAAGUUAAUUCAGCAAAAACUGAUUUACAAAAGUUAAAAGAAAGAGUAAUUUUACUCGAAAUAAAAGGUGAUCCUCAGCUAAAAGGUGAUACAGAAGAAGAAGUUGGAGCUGAAGAAAAUACUAAUAGUAUUAAUAAUCUUCAGUAUAUUAAUCAAAUUGAUAGAGUUAUUACUCAUAAGAAUAAAAAGCCAAAGAUCUCUUUUUUUGAAAGUUUAGCACAAGACGCCAAACUACUUUUUCAAAGGUUAAAAAAGAAUCCAUCAUCAUUGACUCCAGAGCAUACUCUAGCUGUCAAAAAGAAUAAAACAAAAGGUCAAAACCUUACCCUCUCUAGCCCUACCUAACUCUAAAGCCUUUGAGAUAGUAGAAAUAGAUGCUUUAAACAAAGGGUACGGAGGAAUCCUAAAGCAGAGGAUUGCUGACAAAGAAACCCUAGUACGAUUUAUAAGUGGCAUAUGGACAAGCCCAAGAGUUAAUUACUCUACCAUCAAAAAAGAGAUCUUAUCUAUAGUUCUCUGUAUACAAAAAUUUGAAUCUGAUUUAAUAAAUCAGAAAUUUCUUAUAAGAAUUGAUUGCAAGAGUGCUAAAAAAAAUACUCUUGAAAGAUGUUAAAAACAUCGCCUCAAAAUAGAUAUUUGCUAGAUGACAAGCCAUCUUAUCAGUAUUUGAUUUUGACAUAGAAUUCAUAAAAGGGGAAAAUAAUUCGUUGCCUGAUUUUCUAACUCGUAAAUUUCUUACAGGACAUGAAUUCAAAGGCCUCAACAACUCCUUCCAAGCGAACCCAUGAGGUUUCUCCUCCUCCGCCUAAAACGGUAGAUAAACUCAGAGAAGAUGCUUAUGCUGUUAGCAUCAAGACCAACAAUGCAAAAGAACUCACCCCUAUGUCCCUAUCAGUUACUGUUUUCUUAUGCCUAUUGACAAAAAGCAUAAAGAUCUAAAACCUUAUGAGGUUGCCAAUUUUUAUACUGAACAUCAUACAGUAAAUCUUUAUUUACCCAAGGAUUAUACUUACUACCAAGCAAUUUGGCCGAAACAGACUCAGUUGUUUUUUCCCUAAGCUAAUGAGUGGGCAUUCAGUAAAUUCAUAAUUAAAAAAAUAAUAUCCUAUGAUGAUUGGGGAGAUUCUCUGUUCAAACAAAGGGAAUUAAAUUUCGGAAAACCCAAGUACUUUAAUUAUUUUGAUUAUAUGCAAGCCUGGACUGGAGCAUUAAUCUAUGAGAACAGGUAGAGAAAAUUUAGCUGGUUCAUUCAAUUCCAGCUAGACAAAGAAUUAUGGGAUUUCUCAUCAUGGCUCUAUGAAUGGUUCUUUAACCGGAGACUUUUCCCAAUAGCUCUACCUAAUAAGGUUAGAGAAAUUUAUGAACAAUUUGCAGACUCAAAUAAAUCUUUAAAGGAUCCAAGAUUAUUAUUUACUAUCCAAGAUUAUUAUUUACUAUCUUAUAUGAAAUACAUUGGAUGGUUAGAUGGGAUUAUAUUAUCUCAAAA
rnacentral:misc_RNA from 1 species